rnacentral:rRNA from 1 species
UGGGGAAUCUUCCGCAAUGGACGAAAGUCUGACGGAGCAACGCCGCGUGAACGAUGACGGCCUUCGGGUUGUAAAGUUCUGUUAUACGGGACGAAGGUGCGACGGCCAAUACCCGUCGUAAGUGACGGUACCGUAAGAGAAAGCCACGGCUAACUACGUGCCAGCAGCCGCGGUAAUACGUAGGUGGCAAGCGUUGUCCGGAAUUAUUGGGCGUAAAGGGCGCGCAGGCGGCGUCGUACGUCGGUCUUAAAAGUGCGGGGCUUAACCCCGUGAGGGGACCGAAACUGCGAUGCUGAGUAUCGGAGAGGAAAGCGGAAUUCCUAGUGUAGCGGUGAAAUGCGUAGAUAUUAGGAGGAACACCAGUGGCGAAAGCGGCUUUCUGGACGACAACUGACGCUGAG